UACAGAGACUGCAAGCGUUAUUCGGAUUCACUGGGCGUAAAGGGUGCGCAGGCGGCCAAGUGUGUGAGGCGUGAAAGCCUGGGGCUUAACUCCAGAAUUGCACCUCAAACUACAUGGCUAGAGCAUUGGAGAGGGUAGCAGAAUUCACGGUGUAGCAGUGAAAUGCGUAGAUAUCGUGAGGAAUACCAGAGGCGAAGGCGGCUACCUGGACAAUUGCCGACGCUCAGGCACGAAAGCGUGGGGAGCAAAAGGG
rnacentral:rRNA from 1 species